AGCUCUGGUGGCCUAGUGGUUAAAUCAUCAGCCUUGGAUGCGGAAGGUCGUGGGUUCUAUCCCCGAUCGAGUUA